GCCCUCAUAGGGGGCAUGUGCACGCUCUGUUUACACAUCCACUCACACCUGUGCACCCUCUGUAGUUCUAUGGUUUGGGGGACCCUGUCUUCCUUCUGUGGUUCUACGUCUUUACACACACACUGUAAUAAAGUUUUAUGGAAUGUACAUCGCGUCUAACGCAAUACAAUACAACUUUCAGCAACGGAUCUCUUGGCUCUCGCAUCGAUGAAGAACGCAGCGAAAUGCGAUAAGUAAUGUGAAUUGCAGAAUUCAGUGAAUCAUCGAAUCUUUGAACGCACCUUGCGCCCCUUGGCUAUUCUGAGGGGCAUGCCUGUUUGAGUAUCAUGAACACCUCAACUCUCAUGGUUCGCCGUGAUGAGCUUGGACUCUGGGGGUUUUGCUGGCCUGUGGUCGGCUCCUCUCAAAUGAAUCAGCCUCCCAGUGUUUGGCGGCAUCACGGGUGUGAUAAAUAUCUACGCUCGCUGUUGUCUGCCAGGUAACCUUUGGUCACAAAGGUUUGCUGGAGCUCACAGAUGUCUCUCCUCAGCGAGGACAGCUUUUUUAACGUUCGAUCUCAAAUC
rnacentral:rRNA from 1 species